CUCUCAAGUAGCUAGGACUAUGAUCAAAUGCCAUCAUGCCCAGGCCAUGGGAAAAGAGACCUAAGAAAUGAUGCCCAUCCAGAAGAGUGAAGACUUCCUGGCAAUGUUCUUUUAACCUAAGAUGUAGGUUAAGAGGAGUGAACAAAUGUUCUGUUUCUGACUGAUCAUGGAGCAGCAAAGGAACUCCUAAAGAAGAAAUCAUCCAUUCAGUGAGAGCAAAUGAACACACCAACAGACUGAAACAAAGCAUCUUUGCAGGAGACAUGAAUGCCAGAAAGCGAAGAGAACUACAGUCAGGGUCUCUGCUGGCAUGGUCCAAGCCCACCGUGGCAUGACCCAGAGAGACGAGUCAGCAGAGUGCUAUGGACACCUCCCAUACUCCUCUCGCAGAUCAACAAGCCAGCACAUAACCCAGGGAGAUAGAUAAUAGUGAUGCUGUGCUCUGUAGAGGGUAGUGGCAACAGUGGGAUUUCUUCUGGAAUAAAUUUGUAGUGAGCCAGAUGUUUCUUCUGACUGUAUUACUUCUGACAGUGUAUAAUCCAAAAUUGUUUCCUUGGCCUUCCAAAGAGUUUUAUACGCUACCUAACGGCUGCAAUAAAUCCCUUUCUUCUUAAA